rnacentral:rRNA from 1 species
AGUGAACGCUGGCGGUAGGCCUAACACAUGCAAGUCGAACGGCAGCACAGUAAGAGCUUGCUCUUACGGGUGGCGAGUGGCGGACGGGUGAGGAAUACAUCGGAAUCUACUUUUUCGUGGGGGAUAACGUAGGGAAACUUACGCUAAUACCGCAUACGACCUACGGGUGAAAGCAGGGGUUCUUCGGACCUUGCGCGAUUGAAUGAGCCGAUGUCGGAUUAGCUAGUUGGCGGGGUAAAGGCCCACCAAGGCGACGAUCCGUAGCUGGUCUGAGAGGAUGAUCAGCCACACUGGAACUGAGACACGGUCCAGACUCCUACGGGAGGCAGCAGUGGGGAAUAUUGGACAAUGGGCGCAAGCCUGAUCCAGCCAUACCGCGUGGGUGAAGAAGGCCUUCGGGUUGUAAAGCCCUUUUGUUGGGAAAGAAAAGCAGCAGGUUAAUACCCCGCUGUUCUGACGGUGCCCAAAGAAUAAGCACCGGCUAACUUCGUG